ensembl:lncRNA
AGGAGCACCAAGCUUGCAAGAGAGUGACUCCCUUCCAGGUGUGGGCCUAGGAGCGGGGAGCGAGCGGCCCGCCCUGCCGUUGGGAGACCCCGGCCUUCCCCAUCGGCCCUCCGCCGCCUGACCUCCCGAGCCUGGGACCCCCCUUCCGGAACAGGAAUGUCCAGAGUGGCUUGUUCGCUCCCCACAGGCUGGCAGGAGCGUCCUGGACUCUCACUCUCCACAGUGCUCCAUGCAGCCAGCUGGGGCUUCCUUACGUCCCAGCGGUCCUGGGUAAGUUGCACUUCUUACUUGGUGGCUGGUUUCUGCAAGGCUUCUGCUGACCUUGCCCCAGAGGUCCAUGAACAUCUCACCUGCUACGUUGUUUUGGUCAACCAGAUGAACCAAAGAAUUGUUGCUUUCAAAUGGUGGUGCUAGAGAACUCUUGGGAGACCCCUGGACUGCAAGGAGAGCAAACCAGUCGAUCCUAAAGGAAAUCAAUCCUGAAUAUUCACUAGCAUGCUACAGUCCAUGGGGUCGCAAAGAGUCGGACACGACCGAGCAACUGAACUGAUUCAUUGGAAGGACUGAUGCUGAAGCUGAAGCUGAAGCUCCAGUCCACUGGCCACCUGAUGCAAAGAGCCGACUCACUGGAAAAGAUCCUGUUGCUGGGAAAGAUUGAAGAACAAAGGAGAAGGGAGUGGCAGAGAAUGAGAUGGUUGGAUAGCAUGACUCAGUGGAAAUGAAUUGGAGCAAACUCCAGGAGAUAGUGAAGGACAGAGGAGCCUGGUACACUGCAGUCCAUGGGGUCACAAAGAGUCAGACACGACUUAGCAACUGAGCAACAAAUAAGACAUGUGGGGUCUUAGUUCCCUGACCAAGGAUAGAACCUGUGUCCCCUGUGUCAGAAGCAGGGACUCUUAAAUACUGGACCACCAGGCAAGUCCCACAUACUAAGAUGAUAUCAUUGUUUGUAAGACACGACCUGACUUCAUGGGUAAAAAAUGUGAAAUAAACGGUCACAGUAGGAUUGAUG